rnacentral:rRNA from 1 species
UGGGGAAUAUUGGGCAAUGGGGGCAACCCUGACCCAGCGACGCCGCGUGAGGGAAGACGGCCUUCGGGUUGUAAACCUCUUUUGUACGGGAAGAAGGAUGUGACGGUACCGUGCGAAUAAGUCCCGGCUAACUACGUGCCAGCAGCCGCGGUAAUACGUAGGGGACGAGCGUUGUCCGGAAUUACUGGGCGUAAAGGGCGCGCAGGCUGUAGAUCAAGUCAGCUGUGAAAUGUCUGGGCUUAACCCGGGCAUGCGGUUGAAACUGAUGUACUGGAGUGCUGUAGAGGCAAGUGGAAUUCCCAGUGUAGCGGUGAAAUGCGUAGAUAUUGGGAAGAACACCGGUGGCGAAGGCGACUUGCUGGGCAGCAACUGACGCUGAGGCGCGAAAGCCAGGGGAGCAAACG